GGCUGACACAAUCCGAGCCCCAGCCCCCGCCGGGCCUUUUUGUCAGGUGGAAACCUAAGCUAAGCAAACAUACAAAAAAGUGUUAGUAUGCUCAACGCGACACUCGCCAGCCUCCAAUUUUCCACACCCCCUGGCCAGCCCGGGCCGUCCUGAAAUGUCCUUUUAGCCCAGGACAUGGCACACAUACGGAGAAGAGAAAAAAUAUUUUUAAUGGUCUUUUGGCCAGCAAAGCGGACGAAGAGGAUACAAAGGACGAGAUCCAGUGCCAGAACUACAGGCAGGAAGCCAAGGCGCAAGCGAAUUGUCGAAAGUUGAAUGAAUUGUCGGUUGAAUCGAAGGGACAGGUGUUAUCCUGUGGUAAUAUUUGUGUCCGAAACUAUUUGCAUAUGCCAGGCCAGGCUGGUUAUUUGUGGAAUGGUAAUCAGGGAUCAGAAAGGAUAGCAAGGUAAUUGCAUUAAGGAAAAGCUAAUUUGGAGCUGGAAUAAUCCAUGAAUUUAAAGUUCUUCAAACUGCCGUCAGGACACGUGACAUUAAGGCCACCAAUGCCAAAGCUUGCCAAUCAAUUUAUGCGAUUCUGGGCCACCACUUUCCCCGAUUCCGACACUCGAACAACUCUUUAAACCAUUUACGUUUUGUCAUAAUUGCAAAUUUCGUUAUCAGAUCAUAACGAAUAAAUAGAGGGGAUCCUGGGGCGAGAGCCACACAAACAGACGCCAAACAUGACCUUUAUCAAAUCAGACUUAAUUCCCAUGAAAUCCGCAUCAACUGCGUGCAACAUCGCUGACCUUGCCCCGGCCCCUGGCCGAUGCUAAACCAGAAACCAACUUCCACACAAUAAAAGUAGAAAUAAAUCGGCACAGAGGCAGGAGGAUAUAUAGAAACACA